rnacentral:rRNA from 1 species
UACGGGGGGGGCAAGCGUUGUUCGGAAUUACUGGGCGUAAAGGGCUCGUAGGUGGCCAAUUAAGUCAGACGUGAAAUCCCCAGGCUCAACCUGGGAACUGCGUCCGAUACUGGAUGGCUUGAAUCCGGGAAAGGGAUGCAGAAUUCCAGGUGUAGCGGUGAAAUGCGUAGAUAUCAAGAGGAACACCUGAGGUGAAGACGGGUUGCUGGGCUGACACUGACGCUGAGGCGCGAAAGCUAGGGUAGCAAACGGG